UCGUAACACGAACCGGUGCUAAAGGGUCCUGCCUAACGGCUACUGACAGGUGUUGUCGGGGCAGGGACCCUUUAGCACCGGUUCGUGUUACCAA
rnacentral:pre_miRNA from 1 species